GACAGAGGGUGCAAACGUUGUUCGGAAUUACUGGGCGUAAAGCGCGUGUAGGCGGCCCUGCAAGUCGGAUGUGAAAUCCCACGGCUCAACCGUGGAAGUGCAUUCGAAACUGCAGGGCUAGAGUCCUGGAGAGGAAGGUGGAAUGCUUGGUGUAGAGGUGAAAUUCGUAGAUAUCAAGCGGAACACCGGUGGCGAAGGCGGCCUUCUGGACAGUGACUGGACGCUGAGACGCGAAAGCGUGGGGAGCAAACAGGGAUUAAGAU
rnacentral:rRNA from 1 species